GUAGCUACAGACUGUAGCUUGCUGUGUUUAAGGGAGGUGUUCGUGUUGGAGAUGAGACAGGUGAAGACAAAAUGAGACAUCUUCCUCAAUGGGAGACAGAACACGGGGAACCUGGCAGCUUCAAGGAUGACGUCUGUCUCUCUCUUCUCUUCCAUCUCCCAAAGCAGCAGCAGUCUCCCACUGAACUCUCUCCCACUGGACAAUGAGGCAAGGAGGAAGAAAGGACUGGAAAGGAGAUGACUUUGCUGCUGCCCUCAGAUUCUGGAGCUUAAACGGAGCUAGGGUAGACCUAGUGCUGGCUGGGGGUUAGCACUGGGUUGCCCUGUAGUCCCAGGACGAAUGGAAAAUUUCUCUGUUCCCCUAGCUGUCUCCUCCUUCUGCUUUUAGUGGAACCCACAGAAAGAUAGCCCAGAAUUGAGACUUGCAACUUGUAG
ensembl:lincRNA Gm12951 predicted gene 12951